rnacentral:rRNA from 1 species
GGGUCGCGGGCUAAAACAUGCAAGUCGAACGGUAGCACAGAGAGCUUGCUCUCGGGUGACGAGUGGCGGACGGGUGAGUAAUGUCUGGGAAACUGCCUGAUGGAGGGGGAUAACUACUGGAAACGGUAGCUAAUACCGCAUAACGUCGCAAGACCAAAGAGGGGGACCUUCGGGCCUCUUGCCAUCAGAUGUGCCCAGAUGGGAUUAGCUAGUAGGUGGGGUAACGGCUCACCUAGGCGACGAUCCCUAGCUGGUCUGAGAGGAUGACCAGCCACACUGGAACUGAGACACGGUCCAGACUCCUACGGGAGGCAGCAGUGGGGAAUAUUGCACAAUGGGCGCAAGCCUGAUGCAGCCAUGCCGCGUGUAUGAAGAAGGCCUUCGGGUUGUAAAGUACUUUCAGCGGGGAGGAAGGUGUUGUGGUUAAUAACCACAGCAAUUGACGUUACCCGCAGAAGAAGCACCGGCUAACUCCGUGCCAGCAGCCGCGGUAAUACGGAGGGUGCAAGCGUUAAUCGGAAUUACUGGGCGUAAAGCGCACGCAGGCGGUCUGUCAAGUCGGAUGUGAAAUCCCCGGGCUCAACCUGGGAACUGCAUUCGAAACUGGCAGGCUGGAGUCUUGUAGAGGGGGGUAGAAUUCCAGGUGUAGCGGUGAAAUGCGUAGAGAUCUGGAGGAAUACCGGUGGCGAAGGCGGCCCCCUGGACAAAGACUGACGCUCAGGUGCGAAAGCGUGGGGAGCAAACGGAUUAAAACGCGGGGGGUCCACAAA